rnacentral:lncRNA from 1 species
GAGAGGCUUGAUUGAGAACCUACCCGACUAUCAGAGGACCUGUCCGGGAAGAGAAAUGGGGCUACGUCCAGGUAAUGCUACGAUGCUUAACGUCCCGAUGACGUCAUAGGUCAGCGCGCGCUGCCCUGGUCGCCCCCCAAGCCCAUAAAUGACCAUUUCCGGGGACCUCAGCGCUGGGUCCCCUUUCUCGGUUGCAGUCUCCAUCUCUAUAUUGGGACUCACUGGGUUAUCCUUCUGUGCCUCAGUUUCCUCCUCUGUAAACUGAAGAAACCCGUCUCAUGGAAUCUUUUGAAAAUAACCAGAUCAGCCAGGCGCGGUGGCUCACGCCUGUAAUUCCAGGACUUUGGGAGGCCGAGGCUGGCGGAUCACGAGGUCAGGAGUUCGAGACCAGCCUGACCAACAUGGUGAAACCCCGUUUCUACUAAAAAUACAAAAAUUAGUCGGGCGUGGUCGCUGGUGCCUGUAAACCCAGCUACUCAGGAGGUUGAGGCAGGAGAAUCGCUUGAACCUGGGAGGUGGAGGUUGCAGUGAGCCGAGAUUGCACCAAGUGUGAAUCAACCGUCCACUUUCUGCUAUUCUUUGUUAAAUAAAUACUUUUAAAUCCUUACUGGAUACCAAUGCUCUCCAACAGGACCUCCUACCACUACCCCUCUUUUGUCCUAUAUUUUGCCACAUAGGUAAAAUAUAAAAAUAGGUAAUAUAGAAAAUAAAACACAUACUGCUGUAUUGUCAGGUAGUGAUAGGAUUUAUCACUACCUGACAAUACAGUAUGUGUUUGUUUUAUAUAUUUAGGGUGUACAGCGUGUGUUUUGAUACACAUGUACCCAGUGAAAUAAUAAUUAUGACAGUUUUUUUUUUUUUUUUUGAGACGGAGUUUUGCUGUCGUUGCCCAGGCUGAAGUGCAAUGGUGUGCUCUCGGCUCACUGCAGCCUCUGCCUCCCGGGUUCAAGCGAUUCUCAUGCCUCAGCCUCCCGAAUAGCUGGGAUUACAGGCAUGCACCACCAUGCUUGGCUAAUUUUUUUGUAUUUUUAGUAGAGACGGGGUUUCUCCAUGUUGGUCAGGCUGAUCUCGAACUCCUGACCUCAGGUGAUUCGCCCACCUUGGCCUCCCAAAGUGCUGGGAUUACAGGCAUUUUCACCACACAUGGCCAAUUAUGAGAGUUAAGCAAUUAACCUAUCCAUUGCCUUCCAUAAUUAACUGUGUGUGUAGUGAGAGUAUCUAAAAUGUACUUUCUUGGCAAAUUUUCAAUAUACUAUGCAAAAUUAUUAACACAAAGUAUACGUUACUUUUUGUUUGUUUGUUUUGGCUGGCUGCGGUGGCUUAUGCCUAAAAACAUGCCCUUUGAGGAGGCUGAGGUGGGAGGAUCACUUGAGGCCAGGAGCUAGAGACCAGCCUAGGCAACAUGUCAAAACCCAGUCUCUCAAAAAAAAAAAAAAAAAAAGAAAAAAAGGAAAAAAAAGAGAAAAGGAAAAAAAAGAAAAGAACAACAACAAAAAUUAGCCAGAUGUGGUGCAUCAUGCCAGGGUCCCAGAUACUUGGGAGGCCAAGGCGGGAGGAUCAUUCGAGCCUGGGAAAUCGAGGCUGCAGUGAGCCAUGAUCACCCCACUGCACUCCAGCUUGGGUAACAGAGCAAGACCCUGUCUCAAAAAAAAAAAAGCCUUGCUUUCCUGACCCAUUGAUCUGUUUGUUUUUUGUCCUCUGUCAGCAGCAUAUCAGCCUGAUGACAUCAGGGACUGUAUCUGUCCCCAUCAUUGCUGUAAGUUCCCCACUGCUGAAUAAAUACGUUUAUUUAUUCAGUGGUGAAUAAUCUAAGCCUAGAGUCAAUGUACUAGUUAUUAGAGCAGAUGCCAUUAUCGCCUCUUGGAUCUCAUUCCCAGGGUGUUCAUUGGGCAUCUGUCAAAAAAACAAAAUUACAACACAUUUAGUUUAAAGAUCUUAAUUGAUUUUAUUUGCAAUUCUACAAUCGGGCAACACUUCAUUUCACAAAAUGAAACUAAUUUUCCCAUGAGCUGAGCAGGUAGGUUGGUUUUACAGGCAGAAAAAGGGCCAAGUAAAGCACAAACAGAAAAUAAAACGUGGAGGUCAGGUGCAGUGGCUCAUGCCUGUAAUCCCAGCACUUUGGAGGCCGAGGCAGGCAGAUCACCCGAGGUCAGGAGUUCGAGACCAGCUUGACCAACAUGAUAAUGAUGAUGAAACCCUAUCUCUACUAACAAUACAAAAAUAUUAGCCGGGCGCGGUGGCAGGUGCCUGUAAUCCCAGCUACUCAGGAGGUUGAGGCAGGAGAAUCACUUGAACCAGGGAGGCGGAGGUUGCAGUGAGCGAAGAUCACACCAUUGCACUCCAGCCUGGGAGAGCAGAGCAAAACUCCGACUCAAAAAAAAAGAAAAAAAGAAAAGAAAACUUGGAUUGGUCAUUUUAAAGUUUCCUUUUGGAGUCUGAGUCUUGCUCUGUCACCCAGGCUGGAGUGCAGUGGUGCGAUCAUAGCUCACUGCAACCUCAACUUCCUGGGAUCAAGCAAUCUUCCCACCUCAGCCUCCUGAGGAGCUAGGAUCACAGGUGUGUGCCACCAUGCCCAGCUAAUUUUUUUUUUCCAGAGACAGGGUCUUGCCUUGUUGGCCAGGCUGGAUUUGAACUCCUGAACUCAAGCAAUCCUCCUGCCUUGGCCUCCCAAAGUGCUGGGAUUACAGGCAUGAGCCACCACCGCACUCAGCCCAAAGUUACUUUUCUUGUAAAGGUUAAAGCAGAGAGGACAUCCUUAUCAUGAUGGCUAAAACUGACCUGGUGGGAGACUUGGCUAUCCCAUCUCUCUCUCUCCUGAUUUUGUAGAAGGUCAGAUAAACAACUUAGUUUCUUUUUGAUCACGUAAAACUUUAGCAUGAGUGACUCCAUUUUGGUUUAGUUUGUUGGGCCUGGUGUAGGAAGUCAGUCCAAAGUAAUAGCCUCCUAUAAGUUUUGUAUAACACAUCCUGUGUCCAGAUUGGUGGGUUCUUGGUCUUGCUGACUCCAAGAAUGAAGCCACAGACCCUCCGGUGAGUGUUACGGUUCUGAAAGAUGGUGUGUCCAGAGUUUGUUCCUUCUGAUAUUCAGACAUGUCUAGAGUUUCUUGCUUCUGGUGGGCUUUUGGUCUCGCUGACUUCAGGAGUGAAACUGCAGACCUUUGCGGUGAGUGUUACAGCUCAUAAAGGCAGUGCGCACCCAAAGAGUGAGCAGCAGCAGGAUUUACUGGGAAGAGUGAAAGAACAAAGUUUCCACAGCAUGGAAGGGGACCCAAGCACGUUGCCGCUGCUGGCUGCGGUGUCCUGCUUUUAUUCCCUUAUUUGGCCCCACCUACAUCCUGCUGAUUGGUCCAUUUUACAGAGAGCUGAUUGGUCCACUUUACAGAGUGCUGAUUGGUCCGUUUUACAGAGUGCUGAUUGGUCCGUUUUGACAGAGUGCUGAUUGGUGCAUUUACAAACCUUUAGCUAGACACAGAGUGCUGAUUGGUGCAUUUACAAUCCUUUAGCUAGACAGGAAAGUUCUCUAAGUCCCCUACGCGAUUAGUUAGACACAGAGCGCUGAUUGGUGCAUUUACAAACCUUUAGCUAGACACAGAGCGCUGAUUGGUGCAUUUGCAAUCCUUUAGCUAGACAGAAAAGUUCUCCAAGUCCCUACUCAACCAAGAAGCCCAGCCGGCUUCACCUCUCAAUCACCCCUCUAAACAGAACACCCCAACUGCUGUUGGGAAUUUGGCCGAUGACCACUCUAGCUACUUCCUGCUGGAAGAAGGGGCCCUGCAAUUGUAGUGUCCUCCAGAGGGGAACUCUUUAGGCCAGUGGAAGGGCCAGUGGGUCGGUCCAGGGGUCCUCAGUAGAAGUUGUUAGUUGAACUCAUUUGGGGUUCCAUUUUUAAGACCAUCUGUAGCUUGAUGGCCUCGAUUCUAGAAGAAACAAAUUUGACAAGAAGGUUAAAAAUGCAGGGCCCAAAGGUGAGUAAGAGCAAGAUGGCUGCCACAGGACCUAGGGGAGAAGCCAUGUUGCCCAACUCCAGAGGUUGGUAUUAGAGUUCGAAAGGCAUUGUCUGAUUUCAGAAGCCUUUUCCUGUAAAUGCCAGGUGGCAUCUCGUGCUAUCCCUGACUGUUUAGUGUAAAAACAACACUCUUCCCCUAAGAAGGUGCAGAGUCCUCCUUUCUCAGCAGUGAGGAGGUCUAGGCCUCAGUGGUUUUGGAGAGUUGCUGCUGCCAAAGAGUAUAUUUGGGAUUGUAGAGUAAGGAUAGAUUUUGUUAUUUCUUACAAACUGUCUGAGAAAUCCUUUGAAGGUGUAUGGUAGUAGAAUAAUGAAGUGGAUAAACUGGCUAU